rnacentral:rRNA from 1 species
GACGAACGCUGGCGGCGUGCCUAAUACAUGCAAGUCGAGCGGACGGAUGGGAGCUUGCUCCCAGACCGUCAGCGGCGGACGGGUGAGUAACACGUGGGCAACCUGCCUGUAAGACUGGGAUAACUCCGGGAAACCGGGGCUAAUACCGGAUAACUCUUUCCCUCACAUGAGGGAAAGCUGAAAGAUGACAUCUCGCUAUCACUUACAGAUGGGCCCGCGGCGCAUUAGCUAGUUGGUGAGGUAACGGCUCACCAAGGCGACGAUGCGUAGCCGACCUGAGAGGGUGAUCGGCCACACUGGGACUGAGACACGGCCCAGACUCCUACGGGAGGCAGCAGUAGGGAAUCUUCCGCAAUGGACGAAAGUCUGACGGAGCAACGCCGCGUGAGUGAUGAAGGUUUUCGGAUCGUAAAACUCUGUUGUCAGGGAAGAACAAGUACCGGAGUAACUGCCGGUACCUUGACGGUACCUGAACAGAAAGCCACGGCUAACUACGUG